UAAUUUUUGGGAAUAAGUCGUAACAAGGUCUCCGUAGGUGAACCUGCGGAGGGAUCAUUA
rnacentral:rRNA from 1 species